UUUCUGUCUUCGCUGAUGAGCGAUGAAGUGGUUGCCAAUCAACAGCUACUAAUGCAAGAUUACUGCAAGGAAACCAACAGUUUUGGAUUUCCCAAAGGCACAGCAAAUGAGCGAAAGGUCGUUGCAAGGUGUUAAAGGCACUCAAAUGAGGAAUUACACCCCCAAAAGAGGGCGAAAAACAAUAAAACGUACUUGCAAGAAGUGCCAAACACAGUACUAUGGGAUCCACUUGUAUUCCUCUCUUGUCAAUACAAAGUUGAAAUACAACCCAAUUUAAUGGGUCUGAGCAAAUAG
rnacentral:sRNA from 1 species